rnacentral:tRNA from 1 species
CAGAAAGUAGUUUAUUUAAAAUAUUAAUUUUGGGGAUUAAUGAAAAAGAGAUUUCUUUUUUUCUGA